UACGUAGGGACCAAGCGUUGUUCGGAUUUACUGGGCGUAAAGGGCGCGUAGGCGGCAUGACAAGUCACUUGUGAAAUCUCCGGGCUUAACUCGGAACGGUCAAGUGAUACUGUCGCGCUAGAGUGCGGAAGGGGCAAUCAGAAUUCUUGGUGUAGCGGUGAAAUACGUAGAUAUCAAGAGGAAUACCUGAGGUGAAGACGGGUUGCUAGGCCGACACUGACGCUGAAGCGCGAAAGCCAGGGGAGCAAACGGG
rnacentral:rRNA from 1 species